CUCCGCUUUGUUCCCGAGACUUGGGUCGGGCGCUUUUGGUGAGGGUGAUCCAAGAUCCCACUAGAAACUUUUUCACCAAACCCAAAGAAGAGAUGAGGCAAGAUCUGUGCUGGGCAGAGAUCCUUUGGAGUGAGGCUACUAUACACAGGCGUGAAAGUGAGCCAUUUUCUUCUGUUCGGCAGGUAUUGCCUCUUAUUCAUCACUCCACUGAAGCUAAUCAGUAACCAAAGAACAUGUGACUCAAAAGGACCUGAAAGGCUGAUGAUCCUGGUGAAUUAGAGGAAUGCAAUCUCCCUAGGUAAAAUCUCUGUCUCUCUCGGAAUAGAACUCUGCUCUUUGUGAGUUCCUCACAGCCUAAAAUGAAUGGUACUGCUGAGAUUAAGUGGAGAAGGCAAUGCAAGCCACU
rnacentral:lncRNA from 1 species